UCAAACUCAGAUGUUGAACGUGAAGGAUAACGUUGCGUCAGCAACGGCCCGUAGGGCGAGGCGAAGCCGAGUCAUCCUGCACGACCCACCA
rnacentral:sRNA from 3 species